AUUGAACGCUGGCGGCAGGCCUAACACAUGCAAGUCGAGCGGAUGAAGGGAGCUUGCUCCUGGAUUCAGCGGCGGACGGGUGAGUAAUGCCUAGGAAUCUGCCUGGUAGUGGGGGAUAACGUCCGGAAACGGGCGCUAAUACCGCAUACGUCCUGAGGGUGAAAGUGGGGGAUCUUCGGACCUCACGCUGUCAGAUGAGCCUAGGUCGGAUUAGCUAGUUGGUGGGGUAAAGGCCUACCAAGGCGACGAUCCGUAACUGGUCUGAGAGGAUGAUCAGUCACACUGGAACUGAGACACGGUCCAGACUCCUACGGGAGGCAGCAGUGGGGAAUAUUGGACAAUGGGCGAAAGCCUGAUCCAGCAAUGCCGCGUGUGUGAAGAAGGUCUUCGGAUUGUAAAGCACUUUAAGUUGGGAGGAAGGGCAGUAAGUUAAUACCUUGCUGUUUUGACGUUACCAACAGAAUAAGCACCGGCUAACUUCGUG
rnacentral:rRNA from 1 species